GAUCCUGGCUCAGGACGAACGCUGGCGGCGUGCUUAACACAUGCAAGUCGAACGGUAAGGCUCCAGCUUGCUGGGGUACACGAGUGGCGAACGGGUGAGUAACACGUGGGUGACCUGCCCUGCACUUCGGGAUAAGCCUGGGAAACUGGGUCUAAUACCGGAUAGGACCAUGGUGUGGAUACUGUGGUGGAAAGUUUUUUCGGUGUGGGAUGGGCCCGCGGCCUAUCAGCUUGUUGGUGGGGUAAUGGCCUACCAAGG
rnacentral:rRNA from 1 species